GAUUGAUUGGCUUUGAACAGGCCUUGGGGUGAGACUGCUGAAGGAAGUGCUCUGUCUGAAGAGUAGCCUCUGAUAAGGGUUGUUCCAUGCUGGCAAAUUCUCCCAUGGAGAGUUCGAGAGAAAAGUCAAGGAAGAUCUGCAGUUUUCAGAGCUUUGUGUUGCUUGCUUCUGGAUUACUCAGCAGAUGCUUAAUGCAGAAACCACCAUAAUGUGCAAGAUCACUGCCCUUGCAGAGGAUGCAGCAACACGGAGCAAACCGAAUCCAGGGGGUUAUUAAAACAAAUAAAUAAAAUUAAUGGUACCAGGAUUAUCAUUAAACAAGAGUUUGGUUUAAAAAGCUGUGCUGGUAGCUGGAGGUUUAGCAACACAGGCUAUUUGGCUUAAGUGAGUAAACACUAUGGUAGCAGAUUAAAAAUCUAAAUAUAUAGAAGAAAACAUACUCUGCCAUCCACAGAAGCCCUACUGUCAUGGAAUAUUCUGAGUGGGAAGGGACCCACGAGGAUCAUGAGUCCAACCCUUAAGUACUCAGCUUUGUUCUCAUGCAGCCUCUCCUGGAUGGCUGCUCUGUGCUGACUCGUUAAGAUUAUUAUGGAGUUGUUUUGGCUGAUGGAGGUGGGCUCUUUCAUCAUGAAAAGUCCUGCCAUUUUCACUGGGAGUGUUCCUUCUCAAGCACUUGAUGAACAGAGAGCCAAAAUCUAAUCCUGGCUGCGCUGAGUUUUCCCAGCAAUCACACCUUGCCUCUUUAACACCUAAAUCCCACAAGCAGAUCCCGUUACUCUCACACAAACUGAGUACCAAAGCCUGAAGAAGAGUUGUGCAUUUCACCCUCUGGGAGGCCUCUCAUGUCUUGGGAUGGGUCAAACCUGCUACAGACCAGGCUGGACAUGUCUUUUUGUCUUAGCAGCGAUGCCAGCUCAUGCCACUCUCUGACCAUCCAGCAUCCUGAACUGCAGGACUGGUUAGCUGAUAAUUUGCUUUCUAAAGAAAAAUGUGGGUUUGUUGGGGUUUUCGUUUCCUUGGGGUUUUUUCCCAUGUUCUGCUCCUUUCCUUCACUUGGCUUAUCCAGUCAGACAGACACUUGUUGCACAGUGAAGGAGAUGGGUCUUGGUCAUGCUUAGUAGUUGGCUCUUGCUGCUGUGUUACACGAGAUCUUACAAAUACUGCAGUGUCACCAAACUCCCAGGUGUUCUUCAGAAAUGCGUUCUCUGGAAAACGUCUCCAAAAAUGCACUGAGCUGAGAGCCCCCAUUUCAAACACCCUGUCAAAAUUGGAUGCAAAAACCCUAUUUGAGAGGAAACAAUUGCAUUCAUUUGCCAACCUGGCCCAUUAACAGGAGUUACUUAUGCUCCAAAAGCGGCUGUGCUGCAAAG